UCCAGACUCCUACGGGAGGCAGCAGUGAGGAAUAUUGGUCAAUGGGCGCGAGCCUGAACCAGCCAAGUCGCGUGAGGGAUGACGGCCCUACGGGUUGUAAACCUCUUUUGCCGGGGAGCAAAAAGCGGUACGUGUACCGCAUCGAGAGUACCCGGAGAAAAAGCAUCGGCUAACUCCGUGCCAGCAGCCGCGGUAAUACGGAGGAUGCGAGCGUUAUCCGGAUUUAUUGGGUUUAAAGGGUGCGCAGGCGGCGAGUUAAGUCAGCGGUAAAAUUUCGGGGCUCAACCCCGUCGUGCCGUUGAAACUGGCGUUCUUGAGUGAGCGAGAAGUAUGCGGAAUGCGUGGUGUAGCGGUGAAAUGCAUAGAUAUCACGCAGAACUCCGAUUGCGAAGGCAGCAUACCGGCGCUCAACUGACGCUCAUGCACGAAAGCGUGGGUAUCGAACAGGAUUAGAUACCCCCGUAUCG
rnacentral:rRNA from 1 species